CCUACGGGGGGCUGCAGUGAGGAAUAUUGGUCAAUGGGCGCGAGCCUGAACCAGCCAAGUAGCGUGAAGGAUGACUGCCCUACGGGUUGUAAACUUCUUUUAUAAAGGAAUAAAGUGAGGCACGUGUGCCUUUUUGUAUGUACUUUAUGAAUAAGGAUAGGCUAACUCCGUGCCAGCAGCCGCUGUAAUACGGAGGUGCCGAGCGUUAUCCGGAUUUAUUGGGUUUAACGGGAGCGUAGAUGUGUUGUUAAGUCAGUUUUGAAAGUUUGCGGCUCAACCGUAAAAUUGCAAUUGAUACUGGCAGUCUUGAGUACAGUUGAGGUAGGCGGAAUUC
rnacentral:rRNA from 1 species